rnacentral:lncRNA from 1 species
AGAUACCCAGAGGGCUAUGCUAUCAUCCUGGAGCCCACUCUGCUAACAAUUAGCAGAACGGAAGCCUUAAUUUCCAGAAUCUAGUGAACUUGAUGAGUCAAGACUAUUGCAAUUGGAAAUCUGUUCUCCUCUGCUGCUGCAUUCCCUGCUUAAUACUCAAGCCAGAAACCAGGAAGGCUGUGGCUUGCCUUUUCACUUCUUGUGUCCUGUUUAAGAAAUAUCUACUAUCCCAAGAUAACACUAACAAAGUUGACCUUAGAAUUGGAGUGCCUGGGUUAGAACCCUGCUGGUACCACCUGCUUACUGCAUGCUUCUGAUGUGAGUUCAGGAGAAGACACUGGCAAGGACAGCAAAGAACAGGAGAACACUCUAGCUUCCCUGAUAGCAUUCAAGGUGCUGUCCAAAGCUCUUGAGUUUCUGCUUUCAAGUGACCCUCAGAAAUUCCCCCAUUCACUGCAGAGGUUCUGUUUCUCCUUGCUUUGUUCUGACUUUACGGCAGAACUAAGCUGAUGAGUUAGUUACUAUGGGUUAUCACUUGGAUUUGAAGAACCAUCAUUUCUAGGCAUUGCUGCUCAGAGUGGGUCUGCCCUCAGGGGAAGCUGUCUAACCAGAGCCUAACCCACUAGGGUUUUAUCAGAACCUAACUGACCUGAGGAAAAGAAAUAUUCAACUCCAGCAAGCUCCAGCCUUCCAAAUGGAGGAGAAGAAAACCCAACUCCAGCCCACUUCAGCUAUCUUGUCCCACAUAAAGGGGAAGUGGAAGAAACCUGAGAAGCAGGCAUGAAGUUCACAGUCCAGAGGUACAGACACAUCAGAGUUCAGUAUCUGAUGAAUUAGAUGCAAAAACCUCAACAAAGUAUUAGCAAAUUGAAUUCAACAAUGUAUGAAAAUUAUUACAUGCCAUGACUAAUUGGAAUUUAUCUCAGGUAUACAAGCCAUGCUGAACAUCUGAAAAUCAAUUCAUGUGAUCCAUCACAUUAGCAGACUCAAGAAAAAAAACCACAUUAUCAUAUCAGUAGAUGUAGAAAAAAAAAUUUAACAAAAUCCAGCACCCAUUCACAAUGAAAAUGCCCAGUAAAUUAGAAAUAGAAGGUAACUUCCUCAAAUUGAUAAGGAAUAUCUCUAAAAACCUACAACUAAAAUCAUACUUAAUGGUAGAAAACUAGAAGCCUUCCCAGUAAGAGUAAGAACAAGGCAAAGAUGUAUGCUCUCACCAAUGCUUUUCAACAUCAUAUAUUGGAAGUCCUAGCUAGUGCAAUAAGCAAAAAAAAAAAAAAAAAAAAAAAAGUUAUGUUAAUAAGAA